UGGGGAAUAUUGGACAAUGGGCGCAAGCCUGAUCCAGCCAUGCCGCGUGAGUGAUGAAGGCCUUAGGGUUGUAAAGCUCUUUCGGCGGGGACGAUAAUGACGGUACCCGCAGAAGAAGCCCCGGCUAACUUCGUGCCAGCAGCCGCGGUAAUACGAAGGGGGCUAGCGUUGCUCGGAAUCACUGGGCGUAAAGGGCGCGUAGGCGGACAUUUAAGUCGGGGUGAAAGCCCAGGGCUCAACCCUGGAAUUGCCUCCGAUACUGGGUGUCUCGAGACCGGAAGAGGUGAGUGGAACUGCGAGUGUAGAGGUGAAAUUCGUAGAUAUUCGCAAGAACACCAGUGGCGAAGGCGGCUCACUGGUCCGGUUCUGACGCUGAGGCGCGAAAGCGUGGGGAGCAAACAGGAUUAGAUACCCUGGUAGUCCACGCCGUAAACGAUGGAUGCUAGCCGUUGGCAGGCUUGCCUGUCAGUGGCGCAGCUAACGCUUUAAGCAUCCCGCCUGGGGAGUACGGCCGCAAGGUUAAAACUCAAAUGAAUUGACGGGGUCAUAGCUGUUUCCU
rnacentral:rRNA from 1 species